UACGCGAGAUUUUUGUUUGUGCACUAGAACGGUUUCUAGCUGCGGAACGAAAUGGAUCUAAGAGCAACUCUUGUUUCCGUGCUACUGAUGCUGUGUGCGAUAUUCUCGGACGCUGCACCAACAAACGACUUGAAGGAGGAGCCCAUAGGAUACGCGCAAUUUAAAAGACAAGCCAAGAUUGCUCGAUGGAUUGAUGAUCCUUACAAACCUAAGCCAUUCAAACAUGUCUAGAAUUUGGAUUUUGCUGCUUUUAAAUUAGUUCGUAAGAUUAUUGCUUCCUAAGAUGUCGUUAUAUUAUCGAAAUAAAUAAACUUGAAUAAGGUCUA